GACCNGGUGCAAGCGUUACUCGGAAUUACUGGGCGUAAAGCGUGCGUAGGUGGUGAGUUAAGUCUGUCGUGAAAGCCCCGGGCUCAACCUGGGAAUGGCGAUGGAUACUGGCUCGCUAGAGUGCGGUAGAGGAGAGUGGAAUUCCCGGUGUAGCAGUGAAAUGCGUAGAGAUCGGGAGGAACAUCAGUUGCGAAGGCGGCUCUCUGGACCAGCACUGACACUGAGGCACGAAAGCGUGGGGAGCAAACAGGAUUAGAUACCCUGGUAGUCCACGCCCUAAACGAUGCGAACUGGACGUUGGGAGCAAUCAGGCUCUCAGUGUCGAAGCUAACGCGUUAAGUUCGCCGCCUGGGGAGUACGGUCGCAAGACUG
rnacentral:rRNA from 1 species